rnacentral:rRNA from 1 species
AUUGAACGCUGGCGGCAUGCUUUACACAUGCAAGUCGAACGGCAGCGCGGGCUUCGGCCUGGCGGCGAGUGGCGAACGGGUGAGUAAUACAUCGGAACGUGCCCAGUAGUGGGGGAUAGCUCGGCGAAAGCCGGAUUAAUACCGCAUACGACCUGAGGGUGAAAGCGGGGGAUCUUCGGACCUCGCGCUAUUGGAGCGGCCGAUGGCAGAUUAGCUAGUUGGUGGGGUAAAGGCCUACCAAGGCGACGAUCUGUAGCUGGUCUGAGAGGACGACCAGCCACGCUGGGACUGAGACACGGCCCAGACUCCUACGGGAGGCAGCAGUGGGGAAUUUUGGACAAUGGGCGAAAGCCUGAUCCAGCAAUGCCGCGUGUGUGAUGAAGGCCUUCGGGUUGUAAAGCACUUUUGGCGGGAACGAAAAGGACUGUGCCAAUACCACGGUUCGAUGACGGUACCCGCAGAAUAAGCACCGGCUAACUACGUG